ensembl:rRNA 5S_rRNA 5S ribosomal RNA
UUACACAUCCAUAUCACCCUGCAGCCUAAGACUGGUUACUCACUGAAGCUAAGCAGGGCUGAGCCUGGUCAGUACCUGGAUGGGAGACCACUUGGGUCUCUGUUGUUGCUGUUGGAA